rnacentral:rRNA from 1 species
ACAGAGGUCUCGAGCGUUGUUCGGAUUCAUUGGGCGUAAAGGGUGCGUAGGUGGCGCUGUAAGUCGGGUGUGAAAUCCUGAGGCUUAACCUCGGAACUGCAUUCGAUACUGCGGCGCUUGAGGACUGGAGAGGAGACUGGAAUUCAUGGUGUAGCAGUGAAAUGCGUAGAGAUCAUGAGGAAGACCAGUGGCGAAGGCGGGUCUCUGGACAGUUCCUGACACUGAGGCACGAAGGCCAGGGGAGCAAACGGGA